UACGUAGGGACCAAGCGUUGUUCGGAUUUACUGGGCGUAAAGGGCGCGUAGGCGGCGUGGUAAGUCAGCUGUGAAAUCUCCGAGCUUAACUCGGAACGGUCAGCUGAUACUGCUGUGCUAGAGUACAGAAAGGGCAAUCGGAAUUCUUGGUGUAGCGGUGAAAUGCGUAGAUAUCAAGAGGAACACCUGAGGCGAAGGCGGGUUGCUAGGCUGAUACUGACGCUGAGGCGCGAAAGCUAGGGUAGCAAACGGG
rnacentral:rRNA from 2 species